GUGCCCGUAGCUCAGUUGGAUAGAGCUCCCGCCUUCUAAGCGGAUUGUCGCAGGUUCGAAUCCUGCCGGGCACG
rnacentral:tRNA from 3 species